CACGUAGGGUGCGGGCGUUGUCCGGAAUUAUUGGGCGUAAAGAGCUCGUAGGCGGUGUGUCGCGUCGGCCGUGAAAACCUGCAGCUUAACUGUGGGCUUGCGGUCGAUACGGGCAUCACUGGAGUUCGGCAGGGGAGACUGGAAUUCCUGGUGUAGCGGUGAAAUGCGCAGAUAUCAGGAAGAACACCCGUGGCGAAAGCGGCUCUCUGGAACGGUACUGACGCUGAGACGCGAAAGCGUGGGGAGCGAACAGG
rnacentral:rRNA from 1 species